rnacentral:rRNA from 1 species
UCCACGCCGUAAACGAUGAGUGCUAGAUAUCGGGAGAUUUUCUUUCGGUUUCGCAGCUAACGCAUUAAGCACUCCGCCUGGGGAGUACGGUCGCAAGAUUAAAACUCAAAGGAAUUGACGGGGGCUCGCACAAGCGGUGGAGCAUGCGGUUUAAUUCGAUGUUACGCGAAAAACCUUACCAACCCUUGACAUGGUGGUCGCGGAUUGCAGAGAUGCUCUCCUUCAGUUCGGCUGGACCACACACAGGUGUUGCAUGGCUGUCGUCAGCUCGUGUCGUGAGAUGUUGGGUUAAGUCCCGCAACGAGCGCAACCCUUAUCCUUAUUUGCCAGUGGGUAAUGCCAGGAACUAUAAGGAAACUGCCGGUGAUAAGCCGGAGGAAGGUGGGGACGACGUCAAGUCAUCAUGGCCCUUACGGGUUGGGCUACACGCGUGCUACAAUGGUGUUUACAGAGGGAAGCAAUACGGCGACGUGGAGCAAAUCCCUAAAAGACAUCUCAGUUCGGAUUGUUCUCUGCAACUCGAGAGCAUGAAGUUGGAAUCGCUAGUAAUCGCGGAUCAGCAUGCCGCGGUGAAUACGUUCUCGGGCCUUGUACACACUGCCCGUCACGCCAUGGGAGUUGGUUUUACCUGAAGGUGGUGAGCUAACGCAAGAGGCAGCCAACCACGGU